GCAUCGAAGGCUGCUGGAGGCCGACGACUCGACGAUGGAGCUUCCUGCUCAAGGAGAGAAAAGGGAUUAAACGAGCAAACGGCUCCUCCUCGCCGGGCAGGGCUGGCGGGAGGCGGAGAGCCCGGGCGCCGGAGGUUUCUUCACUACUGCUCUGGGAAUGUCUGGAACAAGACAGAGACGAGAUCAAUCUACUGGGUGCUCUGAGCAUGUGUCACCUUGGUUCUGUUUAGGAGAAACUAAGCUGGAAGACACCCUGAAAUCUAAAGUGGAUGCCGGGCCUUCAGCACUGCCAGUUUCUACAGAUCUGCUCCUGAUGCACCUCUAUUAUUUGCUGAUGUAUAGUCACAGUUCAUUGGGAAGAACUAGAGAAAACCUUCACAUGUUCCUGCACCAUGCCAAGGAUUGCAAAAGCUCAGGAGGAUGAAACACUGAAUUUCUCCUUUCCCUUUAGAAGAAAAUUUUAAGCAGAUGUGAGGGAUUGAGAUAUCUUUACUUUUUAAAGAUGUUUGAAAUGGCUGAGAGGUAUGGAAACUGUAAGGGGAAAGUUGGUGCACAAAAGAUAGGUAAUCUGGUAAAGAACAUAUAUUUAUCUCUGAAUCUACAGCAUAUUACAGAAAUAUUUGGUAAACAGAGAUUAGAGAUAUACCAUGAGUUUUCUUGAAAGUCUGGGCAGUGGAGAGUCUAUGGGGGACCAGCAUUUCCUAUGCUGACAAUGACCUAUGGGAAAUUUAAGCAAAAGAACUGUACUGACAUUCCUGCUGUGGAACAGAGCAGAUGGAACUUCAUGGCUUGUGGUGUGUAGGAACACUUCUUAGCUGAACUUCAUUAUCUCUUCUUGCCUUAAAAGGUCUGAAUUUCACAGAGGUCUGCAGGCGUAACAUGGGCCAGCUAAUCCUUGAUUUUCAUUUAUAUAUGUUGUUAGACUAUCAACUGACUUUUGCUUACCUAGACUCUGUUGUUUACUUGACCCUAUUCAAAUUCUGCUCUUCCAAGGAAAUAAUAUUAUUUGCAUAUCCACAUCAUCACUGUAGAUUUAAGAACUGACUAGAGGAAGUGUGUGUACUGUGCAUGCCAGUGCUCAUGUAUAAGUAUGUGCCAUUUCAGAGAAUUUAAAAGCAUGUGGGAGCAACCAUCCCUCAAAUGCAAGUUUGGCAAGUGGAGUAGUGAAUGAUGUAGUGUAUCCUCUACAGCUGGGAAGUUGGAAAGGUAGAAACCUGGAAAAGACAACUUUGGAUAAUUUUAUGGUCUUUGUAGGGGAAGAUUUAAAAAAUCUUAUUCACAGAGGCCUUGGCCGUAGAGCUGUUCCAAAUCAUUGCUGUUUUCCUUUGAUUGGAUAUGGACUUUAGUGUUCAUAUCAGUUACAAUCCUGUUAGUAUCUGAGAGGUGCAACCUUGCUAACUAAACAGACUUCUCUGGUUCAAUAUGGUAAGGUAGGAUUUCAUUACAGCUCUCAUGUUGGGCAGUUAUGAGGCACAGUUCUAAAUGGCAGAUGCUUUAAUGCCUGUGUCAGGGUCUACAGUGACAAAUAGUCACCACUGCACAAACACAUUUAUUUUACUACAAGACGUUUUCCUGGGGAGGAGGGAGUGCCAAUCAGAAACCGGAGGCCUGUUGUGCUGUUGCUGGCUGGGACGAGCAUUUUCCAUGGUUCUAUCAACAAGCAGGCAUUCCUUGCAGGAAGAAAGGUAGUAGUAAUGACAGAUGUCUUCUACUUGUGAUUGGGCAAAAAAUGGGGACAUGAAAUCUGACAUGAGUACAAGGCACACCAUGUGCUAUACAAUAAUAUUUUUGCCAUCACGUUUUUUGUAAUUAUAUGAAAGGCCAUUUUUACAGUCAUAUACUUAUUUGUCUGUUUACACCACAAACAGCUGGAAGCAUUUUCACACUAUGUGUGUCACCAGAACGUGAUGACUAUGACAUCUAAACCUAAUCUCAGUCGAAAGGUUAAACCAUAGUGACUACUACUAAUUUAAAUAAAUAUUAAUUUAAUUCUGCAAAUGAAAGUAAGGAAAGGGUGUGUGGAGAGUUCGUUUCUGCAUCCAACACUCAGGUCAAUUACAUCCCUGCUGUCUAUGGACAGAAAGAAGGCUUAGUCCUCCAGCUCUGGAAAAAUGACAGCUUACUUUUGGGGGGCUCACAAGGGAUUUUUGCAGAACCAUGGAUCUUCAUGGAAUACUGGGAUGAUAGUGGUUUGGAAGUGGAAGCUGCGAAGAUACAGUGAAGGUAAUGGAUGUAGACAACUCCCUCCUCAGCAAUAAGAAAAGGAUUGUUUUUACAGCCCAUCACAAAAGCAUGAAAUGUUUAUGCCGAAUGGUAGCUUUUUAUACAUAAAUUGUGUUCAACUGCUUCAUCAUCCACUGCCAAACAUUUUUUUAGUUUCCUGGUGUUAGUUCUCUGACAUAAGGGUGUGCCAGCUUAACGAGCCAUUUGAUGAUAGAUACGUAGCAUUGGAUGAUUAAGAUAAAGUUAAUAGGCUGUAGUAAAUGCAGGCAUUACUUGGUCUUAUUUCCUGGUGCUGCAUUAAUGCAGUCCUCAAUUAUUCCAUGCACAUGUGGAUUUAAAAUGCAGAAACAACUGAAAUGGGAAUUUCUUGAGAUAUUACUGUUGCCAAAAUAUAACUAAAAUAUUGGAAGUAAUGCAAUCAUGUCAUAGCUCUAUAGAAUUCCCUGUUCCUCAUGAGAUUUUAUAGAUUUUUCUAUGUUGUCUAUAAUUUCAAAAAUUGUUAAUUUUAUUUUUGAUAUUAUUCUGCCUUUGUGGACAAUCAGUUUAGCUCAUAAUUUCGAAGAAGUGUUGGUUCCACCAUGAUUUGUCCUUUGUGCAUUUUACAUGAUUUGUACUUCAAGGUUUUGUUCUCCAUGUGUCAUCGUUACCUCUUGCUUUCCACAUCCUACAUUGCUCUUAAUUGAACAAAUAAAGCUUGUGUCAUGUAC